rnacentral:rRNA from 1 species
ACACAGGUGCUGCAUGGCUGUCGUCAGCUCGUGUCGUGAGAUGUUCGGUUAAGUCCGCUAACGAGCGCAACCCUCACUGUGUGUUACAUGUGUCACACGGGACUGCCGGUUUUAAGCCGGAGGAAGGCGAGGAUAACGUCAAGUCAGCAUGGCCUUUAUAUCUUGGGCUACACACACGCUACAAUGGUCUGUACAAUAGGUUGCCAAGCCGCGAGGCGGAGCCAAUCCUUAAAGCAGGCCUCAGUUCAGAUUGCAGGCUGCAACCCGCCUGCAUGAAGAUGGAGUUGCUAGUAACCGCAGGUCAGCUAUACUGCGGUGAAUACGUUCCCGGGUCUU